UUUGCAUUGAAAUUCUUGUUCAGUAUAAAUAGGAUGACUAAAGACAGAAUAGUAUGGGGAGUACAUAGUUAAUGUUUGGCUGUUACUGCCUGAGCAGAGAUGAGAUGAUGACUAAGGAAUGGAAAAAAUWAAUUAAUCAAACGCAAACUAAGUAUAUUUUCAAUGUUUUGGCAAUUUAAUGUUCACAAUUUUGGGCUUUUGAAUUUCUAUUUAAAAAGCAAAAACAUUAUUUGAAUGUCAUUUCUUAUUGCAUUUAAUGAAAAUCUGGGAUUUUGCAAAUCUUAAACACUCAAUUAUUAUCCAAAAUAACUUUAGAGAUACMAAAUGUUUUUUUCCCACAGAUUUUUAUUGAACACUGACCAGAGUUCUUAUUAGCUCAGGAUUCCCCUCUGURGGAAUCUGUGUUUUAAAAUGGGGUGAUAUGAAAGUAGUUUGAGAUUUCAAAGGCAUAUUGCACGUAAUGAUUAUUAACAGUUAGACAGAGCGUCCAAGGUGUUGUACACAUUUUCUGCUGUUGUCAAUGGUUUGAAUGAGAACCCAAUGGCUGUAUGGCCCCUUGGGUUCUUGAGAGCUAGUUAAUAGUCUGAGUGGCKUGUGAAUAUUUUUUGCCCACCAGACACUGACACUGGUUCACCGAAAUMUUAAUGUCAUGCCCUGGUUACAAUGRUCAGCUAUUGCAUGGUCAGCUGUUAUAUCAAUAGCUCGUUUACAAAAUGUAACAUGGCUKCCCUACAGCAGAGGUUCCACCAGCAUAAAUUUGAGUCAGUCAACAUGACUGACGGRAUUGAAGAAAAUCUGCCCUUGUCCAUUUAUAGGUCGCUUAGGGCACAUUUUUGACACAACUUAUUAGUCAAUACAUAAAAAUACUGCUUUACUUGAUUUUUUCCCCCUGUUCUGUAGUGUUGGCUGAGGGAAAGUGUAUGUAGAUAGCACCAGCAUCUUGAAAAUAAGCCUGGGGAGUAACAUUAUUUCAUGUUCAAUAAUUUUUGCUGUGGCUGUAAAAAUUGUGCAGUGAAUAUGGUUUUUCUCAUAUUUUUACAGUUUUCUUGGAUAUACUUCGUUGUCGUGUGGGGGAGUCUUUAUCCAUAGAAAUACCUGAUGAUGACCAGUGUCCGUUGUCAAACUUCAGUCUAUGUACAGAGAAAAUUGGCCAAGUGUUCGAGUAUAGCAAGAAGCUGUCAGUUGACUGUGGAUCCACGUUAUCAGGACAGGAUCCAGUUGAAGAAUGACGCCAACGGCCUUGCUGUUGUAAUUUGGAAUGUAACCAAAGAUGAUGAAAAGGAACACUUAUGUGGACUGUGCUUCUACAUUUCUAAAGAGAUUUGUAAUUCAAAUUCCAAGAAGUAUUGAGAGUUCAACCACCACAGCAUUCCCCCAACCAUCUACAACCACACCAGGAGGUCUACCUGUGGAACAUCUUGCUUGGCUGGUACUGGUACCAGUAUGCCUAGGCGGUGUAGUACUACACAUCAGGAAUCGUUAACAAAAGUUGAAGGAAGAACCUCUCUGCCGAGCUGUAGAUCCCAUCGUCCACCUAUGUUCUAAAUCAAAACACAUCAAUGGACACAGCAGAACAAUGAAAUGAUGUCUCUGUUACUAAGGUUGGCUAGACACUAUGAUUUUGCCCUGUCUGCGGGCUUGCCAUGAGCAUUUCUAAUCAAUCAAACUCAGGGGCAUGUUUUUUGCUGUCUGCUCCGGUGGAAUCUUUUUGAAAGUGCUUUCUAAAUGCAAUGUCCCAUUCACUUCUAUUGAGCGUUAGCUAGUGGUGGCUUAAGUUAUGUGAAGUUUUGAAGUGGCUGUUUAAAGGGAACUGAACCAUGCAUUACUGUUUCUCCUGGCCCAAAGACUACUGGCAGAGUGAGGAGCCUAACAAUAAGUUGUGUAAAAUCCUAAACAAUCCCUUUAAACCCUCAGCCUUACUGUACAACUACUGUACUUGUGAUUUUCUUCAACCUUUCUAACGGUUGAUCAUUGUCAGCAUUACAUUGUGUUCCCUAUUCGGGGAGACGUUUAUACAGAUGUGCACAAUUUACUGUACUGUCAUUAUACUGUAUCACAUGUCUGAUACCAGAACCAUUAUGUUCUAUUGUAUGAUUACACCUCUUAUGAUAAUGGGAUUGACAAGACUUGUUCAAAUACAUAUUUAUGAUCAAAGAUUUUCUUUAAGGUCAACAUAGUUGGAUUUAUUUAUAUUUUUUUACUGAAGGUAAUUAGAAAGUAACAAAUUGUGCACACUGCUGUUUUUAAAUGCACUUUUGUGACAACCUGAUGCAUGUACAGUUAUCUAAUUAAUAUUUUUGCUAAUGUAGAUGUGACGUGGCCCCUCGCGAUAUUGAGACUGGUCGACACACAAACAUUCCCUUCAGAUAAACCUGACUGUUCUUUUUGUAAAGAUGGUUCCCUUGAAAAAUGUGUGAUCUUUUUUGCCAACUGUCCAGCCAUMAUGAAAUGCUACUUUUGAUCAGGUAACAAUGUGAAUGUCUUUCCAAAUCUUGCCGUCUCAUCCUCUAUCACAGACCUCUUAGAAGUUCCUGAAUGUCCUCUUAUUUACUGUACUUUAUGUAUAGAUGGCAAUCAUGUUUACAUUUACAUUACAUUUAAGUCAUUUAGCAGACGCCCUUAUCCAGAGCGACUUACAAA